GUUGCACGAGUUUAGACUCGUAGCAGAUAGCUCAGUAACACGUGGCCAAACUACCCUAUGGAUCCGAAUAACCUCGGGAAACUGAGGCUAAUGCGGAAUAGCGUUCAUCGCCUGGAGUGGCACGAACGCGAAACGUUACGGCGCCAUAGGAUGUGGCUGCGGCCGAUUAGGUAGACGGUGGGGUAACGGCCCACCGUGCCCAUAAUCGGUACGGGUUGUGAGAGCAAGAGCCCGGAGACGGUAUCUGAGACAAGAUACCGGGCCCUACGGGGCGCAGCAGGCGCGAAACCUUUACACUGCACGCGAGUGCGAUAAGGGGACUCCGAGUGCGAGGGCAUAUAGUCCUCGCUUUUCACGACCGUAAGGUGGUCGUAGAAUAAGUGCUGGGCAAGACCGGUGCCAGCCGCCGCGGUAAUACCGGCAGCACAAGUGAUGACCGCUAUUAUUGGGCCUAAAGCGUCCGUAGCUGGCCACGCAAGUCUAUCGGGAAAUCCGCGCGCUUAACGCGCGGGCGUCCGGUGGAAACUGCGUGGCUUGGGACCGGAAGACCAGAGGGGUACGUCCGGGGUAGGAGUGAAAUCCCGUAAUCCUGGACGGACCACCGGUGGCGAAAGCGCCUCUGGAAGACGGAUCCGACGGUGAGGGACGAAAGCUCGGGUCACGAACCGGAUUAGAUACCCGGGUAGUCCGAGCUGUAAACGAUGUCUGCUAGGUGUGGCACAGGCUACGAGCCUGUGCUGUGCCGUAGGGAAGCCGUGAAGCAGACCGCCUGGGAAGUACGUCCGCAAGGAUGAAACUUAAAGGAAUUGGCGGGG
rnacentral:rRNA from 1 species